AGUGAACGCUGGCGGUAGGCCUAACACAUGCAAGUCGAACGGCAGCACAGUAAGAGCUUGCUCUUACGGGUGGCGAGUGGCGGACGGGUGAGGAAUACAUCGGAAUCUACUUUUUCGUGGGGGAUAACGUAGGGAAACUUACGCUAAUACCGCAUACGACCUACGGGUGAAAGCAGGGGAUCUUCGGACCUUGCGCGAUUGAAUGAGCCGAUGUCGGAUUAGCUAGUUGGCGGGGUAAAGGCCCACCAAGGCGACGAUCCGUAGCUGGUCUGAGAGGAUGAUCAGGGACAGUGGAACUGAGAAAAGGGGCAGACUCCUAAUGGAGGCAGCAGAGGGGAGUAUGGGACAGUUGGCGCAUGCCAAAUCCAGAAAAACGGAAUAGGUGAAGAGGAGGUUCGGAUUGUGAAGCGCUAGGGUUGGCAAAGGAAAACGACAUGUCAAACGUCCAGCGUUCUGACGGGACACAAGAAAUAAACACCCGCUAACGUGAUG
rnacentral:rRNA from 1 species